rnacentral:ribozyme from 1 species
CAGGAACAGAAGGAAAAGAAAGACAAAUUAAAAAUAAAUACGAAAAAAGGCGGCACAAUUGAAAAGGAAAAACAUAAGCACAUAGCACACUCUUCCUCCACUCCCCUUCAUUUCUGUAAUCUUAC